rnacentral:rRNA from 1 species
GACGAACGCUGGCGGCGUGCUUAAUACAUGCAAGUCGAACGGAAAGGCCCUGCUUUUGUGGGGUGCUCGAGUGGCGAACGGGUGAGUAACACGUGAGUAACCUGCCCUUGACUUUGGGAUAACUUCAGGAAACUGGGGCUAAUACCGGAUAGGAGCUCCUGCUGCAUGGUGGGGGUUGGAAAGUUUCGGCGGUUGGGGAUGGACUCGCGGCUUAUCAGCUUGUUGGUGGGGUAGUGGCUUACCAAGGCUUUGACGGGUAGCCGGCCUGAGAGGGUGACCGGCCACAUUGGGACUGAGAUACGGCCCAGACUCCUACGGGAGGCAGCAGUGGGGAAUAUUGCACAAUGGGCGGAAGCCUGAUGCAGCAACGCCGCGUGCGGGAUGACGGCCUUCGGGUUGUAAACCGCUUUCGCCUGUGACGAAGCGUGAGUGACGGUAAUGGGUAAAGAAGCACCGGCUAACCACGUG